rnacentral:lncRNA from 1 species
AGGGUUUUAGUGGGUUUAGAGGUUCGGUUGGGUUUUGAUGAAAUCGGGCCCGGGCAAUUUGGGCUUCUACAGCUGCCCCUCUUUGCUCAUUGUCGUGCAACAGGAAUAGAGAAAUGACUUUCAAGGAAGACCAAAUUUGCCCGGUCUUGCUAGGUCUUGACUUGCUUUAGAACUCUUCUUGUUUAGUUAGUCCUUUUUCAGUCCACCGCAUCUUGUAGCUUUGGUUCACUCCACUGCAUCUUAUGAUAUACGCCUUGUAGCUUCAAUCUAUUCCAAUGUAACUUCAAGGAUAUGAAAUUUAUGGCUUCGAUCUACUUAACUGUAACUUCAGAAAGGUGAGAUCUACAACUUCAAUCUUCUCUUCUAUCGCUUCAGUGAGAUAAGGUUUGUGGUCUUUUCUUUUGCGAUUUCAGAAAGGCAAGAUCUGAUGCCCUUGAUCAACUCUACUGCAACUUUAAGGAGACAGAAUCUGACGUCUUC